ensembl:lncRNA PPP5D1P PPP5 tetratricopeptide repeat domain containing 1, pseudogene
UUCCCUGCAAUGCGUCAAACUGGGGCGAGCCACUGCAAGGUGGUGGUGGGUGGUCAAGGUGAAGCCCCACGACAAGGAUGCCAAAAUGAAAUACCAGGAGUGCAACAAGAUCGUGAAGCAGAAGGCCUUUGAGCGGGCCAUCGCAGGCGACGAGCACAAGCGCUCCGUGGUGGACUCGCUGGACAUCGAGAGCAUGACCAUCGAGGGUGAGUACAGCGGACCCAAGCUUGAGGACGACAAAGUGACAAUCACCUUCAUGAAGGGGCUCAUGCAGUGGUACAAGGACCAGAAGAAACUGCACCAGAAAUGCGCCUACCAGGUAAUGCACCUGUCAGGUACCGGGCACCCGGGAACCCUGGGAUGGCAUCACAGCACUGCCAGGCGCGGGCACUGAGCAAAAUGACAGGAGAAGGGCAGCCACAACAGCCAACACCAAACAGGAGUCGUGGUCAUUAUGGAUUGGCAGUAAUCCCUCCCAAUAUUCAGAUACAAUAAACUAUCUCUAC